GUUAAAAUUAGCGACUGUUUAUGGGAAAUGCAUAAUAUUUACAAUUAAUUUUAACUAAGGAAGUAAUGCCAUUAAAAAUAAACUUGAAAUGCAUGAGUGAUAAGAAAACAAAGAGUCUCCACAAAAAUCUCUAUUUAAAGGAAAUGUUGUCUACGCUUUUUAACAUUAUUGUCUUAGAGCAUUUGGAAGUUCACAUCUGAGAAGAGAAAACAUAACUGACCAACAUGUUGAAGGCACUGAUAGUUCUCAUGUUUGUUUGCCUGAUAAUCGCCACAGUAAGCGGCGGUAUCGUCUACGGUGGAUAUGGGGGAUAUGGUGGAGGAUAUGCGGGAGGAUAUGGUUAUGGCUAUCCAGGAAGGUGGGGCGGCGGCUACAUCGGUUGCUGCUAACAGAAAAGGCUAUGGUUUUCCCGUGACGACUGCUGCACAGAAAACCACCUUAAGUUGGGUCGUGUAUUAAACUACACGUUCAUUAAUAAAACCAUUUGUCUGAAAUUCA